UACGUAGGGCGCGAGCGUUGUCCGGAAUUAUUGGGCGUAAAGAGCUCGUAGGCGGCCUGUCGCGUCAAUUGUGAAAGCCCGGGGCUUAACUCCGGGUCUGCAUUCGAUACGGGCAGGCUAGAGUUCGGUAGGGGAGAUCGGAAUUCCUGGUGUAGCGGUGAAAUGCGCAGAUAUCAGGAGGAACACCGGUGGCGAAGGCGGGUCUCUGGGCCGAAAUUGACGCUGAGGAGCGAAAGCGUGGGGAGCGAACAGG
rnacentral:rRNA from 1 species